rnacentral:rRNA from 1 species
UGGGGAAUUUUGGACAAUGGGCGAAAGCCUGAUCCAGCAAUGCCGCGUGUGUGAAGAAGGCCUUCGGGUUGUAAAGCACUUUUUGUCCGGAAAAGAAAUCCUUGGCUCUAAUACAGUCGGGGGAUGACGGUACCGGAAGAAUAAGCACCGGCUAACUACGUGCCAGCAGCCGCGGUAAUACGUAGGGUGCAAGCGUUAAUCGGAAUUACUGGGCGUAAAGCGUGCGCAGGCGGUUUGCUAAGACCGAUGUGAAAUCCCCGGGCUCAACCUGGGAACUGCAUUGGUGACUGGCAGGCUAGAGUAUGGCAGAGGGGGGUUAGAAUUCCACGUGUAGCAGUGAAAUGCGUAGAGAUGUGGAGGAAUACCGAUGGCGAAGGCAGCCCCCUGGGCCAAUACUGACGCUCAUGCACGAAAAGCGUGGGGAGCAAAACAGGAUUAGUACCCUGGUAGUCCACGCCCUAAACCGAUGUCAACUAGUUGUUGGGGAUUCAUUUCCUUAGUAACGUAGCUAACGCGUGAAGUUGACCGCCU